rnacentral:tRNA from 1 species
GGAGAGAUGGCUCAGUGGUUAAGAGCACUGACUGCUCUUCCAGAGGUCCUGAGUUCAAUUCCCAGUGACUACA